AUGAACGCUGGCGGCGUGCUUAACACAUGCAAGUCGAACGAUGAAGCCCAGCUUGCUGGGUGGAUUAGUGGCGAACGGGUGAGUAACACGUGAGUAACCUGCCCUUAACUCUGGGAUAAGCCUGGGAAACUGGGUCUAAUACCGGAUAGGAGCGUCCACCGCAUGGUGGGUGUUGGAAAGAUUUAUCGGUUUUGGAUGGACUCGCGGCCUAUCAGCUUGUUGGUGAGGUAAUGGCUCACCAAGGCGACGACGGGUAGCCGGCCUGAGAGGGUGACCGGCCACACUGGGACUGAGACACGGCCCAGACUCCUACGGGAGGCAGCAGUGGGGAAUAUUGCACAAUGGGCGCAAGCCUGAUGCAGCGACGCCGCGUGAGGGAUGACGGCCUUCGGGUUGUAAACCUCUUUCAGUAGGGAAGAAGCGAAGGUGACGGUACCUGCAGAAGAAGCACCGGCUAACUACGUG
rnacentral:rRNA from 1 species